GAUGAAGAACGCAGCGAAAUGCGAUAAGUAAUGUGAAUUGCAGAAUUCAGUGAAUCAUCGAAUCUUUGAACGCACAUUGCGCCCGCCAGCAUUCUGGCGGGCAUGCCUGUUCGAGCGUCAUUUCAACCCUCGAGCCCCCCCGGGGGCCUCGGUGUUGGGGGACGGCACACCAGCCGCCCCCGAAAUGCAGUGGCGACCCCGCCGCAGCCUCCCCUGCGUAGUAGCACACACCUCGCACCGGAGCGCGGAGGCGGUCACGCCGUAAAACGCCCAACUUUCUUAGAGUUGACCUCGGAUCAGGUAGGAAUACCCGCUGAGCUUAAGCAUAUCAAUAAGCGGAGGA
rnacentral:misc_RNA from 1 species